rnacentral:sRNA from 1 species
CCAAUAGCGUAUAUUAAAGUUGCUGCAGUUAAAAAGCUCGUAGUUGAAUUUCGGGACUAAUAUGUCGGUCGUGCCUCGGUACGUACUGGCAUCGUUGGUUUCUCCUUUCUGAAGAACCAUGAUGUCAUUUAUUUGGUGUCGUGGGGAAUCAGGACUGUUACUUUGAAAAAAUUAGAGUGUUUAAAGCAGGCUCACGCUUGAAUACAUUAGCAUGGAAUAAUGAAAUAGGACGUUUGAUUCUAUUUUGUUGGUUUCUAGGAUCGACGUAAUGAUUAAUAGGGAUAGUUGGGGGCAUUAGUAUUCAAUUGUCAGAGGUGAAAUUCUUGGAUUUAUUGAAGACUAACUACUGCGAAAGCAUUUGCCAAGGAUGUUUUCAUUAAUCAAGAACGAAAGUUAGGGGAUCGAAGACGAUCAGAUACCGUCGUAGUCUUAACCAUAAACUAUGCCGACUAGGGAUCGGAUGAUGUUAAUUUUUUAAUGACUCAUUCGGCGCCUUACG